UCCAGGUUAAAAUGAUUUUAGUAGUCCAAACCAUGCUCAGUCCUGUGUGAGAAAGCAAUUCAAGCUACUUUCUUGCUAUUGUACUUCAUUGUGAGUAAUAUUGCCAAAACUUCCUUCCUGUGGACUUUAUCAUUAAAACUACUAGUUAAAAUGCCCCCUACUUUCCUUCUUUUUUGUUUUCUUUUAUUGUAUUUUGUUUAUGUUUUAAAUGUAUGUUCUUAUUGGUUCUCUAUGAAUUCCUCAUCU
rnacentral:lncRNA from 1 species